ensembl:lncRNA
CUGUGUGCAGGCGCCCCCAGCACAGGAAAGACGUGGAGCUGUUGGAGCGGGUCCAGAGGAGGGCACGAAGAUGCUCAGAGGGCUGGAGCACCUCUCCUCUGUAGCAGUGGAUUGCUUUUGUUGUGAUCCAAAUAAAGUUGUAAUUCUGAGUAUUUGGUAACACCAUUUGUAGGAAUAAACAUGACAGAUCAUGUCAAAGAUUUGCAACUGCUUGCUCAGGUGCAAACCUCAGAAUGCAAGGGAUGAGAUUAGAAGGCCUGGUCUGCUGGGCACUCACCUCUUGCCAGAAGCUCUGCUACUGAGUGCCAGGAGACAACCAGCAUUGAAUGAGUACUCAACAGGCAUUGAGUACUUCAGUAUUACUAAAUUAGGUACUAUGCUACAGUAUUUCCCAGAAUACACACAGCAUAUUGCAAGCAUUUUCAAAA